rnacentral:tRNA from 7 species
CUGGGACGGAAGGAUUCGAACCUCCGAAUAGCGGGACCAAAACCCGUUGCCUUACCGCUUGGCUACGCCCCA